rnacentral:rRNA from 1 species
UACAGAGGUCUCAAGCGUUGUUCGGAUUCAUUGGGCGUAAAGGGUGCGUAGGCGGCGCGGUAAGUCGGGGGUGAAAUUUCGAGGCUUAACUUCGAAACUGCAUUCGAUACUGCCGUGCUUGAGGACUGGAGAGGAGACUGGAAUUUACGGUGUAGCGGUGAAAUGCGUAGAUAUCGUAAGGAAGACCAGUGGCGAAGGCGGGUCUCUGGACAGUUCCUGACGCUGAGGCACGAAGGUCAGGGGAGCAAACGGG